CGAAGGAUUUCAUUUUUUGGUGAAAAUUUACCCAGCCUUCCCUGACUAGAUGCACCAGCAAAUUGCUGAGACGAGAAUUGUACCCUUUAAUCCAAGCACUUUACCUUAAAGAUUCUCCAGGACUACUGAAGCAGAGUCAGAUCGCUGGACAGUUGUUUGAAAUGCUGAUCUUACUAUGUUUGAAAUGCCGCUGAAUGAAUUUGAUGGAUCAUCAAUUUAGAAAGAGGUGACUAUCCAUUUCCAAAUGACUAGCAGAAAAAAGACAACCUUGUGAAGCCAUCCAGUUCCUCUUGCAUAGGUAAUACCAAUUCAGCAUCUUAUUGUUAAUAAUUGUAAGCCACGAAAAUUUUAACUGUCUGGGACCAGGCACUUUCACAGAGAGUUAGCACUGACUUUCUGAGAUGAAACCUUCGCUGUUGAUAAACUUAUUGAAGAAUCUAACUGAGAAUAGAGUCAUCUCAUCUCCACCUGCAAGUGGCAUUCCCUAAGGUAAGACAGACCUCUUCAAGUAUGUUUCAUAAUUUGUGUAAAGUCAUCCUCUACCAACAUUUAGAAGAUUAUAAGGUUCAGGAGACCAUAAUUUUCUACAGUUGCUGAUUCCAGCUUGUUUGUAGAUCAGACUAUUCUUAUUAUCACAUAUUUUGAAAAGCCUUGGGAAUAAAGUACACAAAAGGUGUCUGCCAACCAUCAAUUCUCGAGCCAACAGGGAAGACUUCUACAACCUGAGGCGGAUCUCCUUCAGUUGUAGCUUAUCAUGAUCUGGUUCCUCCCAGAUGGCUCUGUACCUUGUAAGAAUUUCACCACCACUUACCCUGCAAGGCAAUAUCAAAGUGCACUGAGGUUUUUAUCAUCCAUGCCUCCCUCACCC
rnacentral:lncRNA from 1 species